rnacentral:piRNA from 1 species
AAAGGAUAAAACGUCCGGUGCAUUCGU